CUCGAUUUACACAUGAUUUGAAAGGUUGUUGAAUCCAAGGAUAUGGAAACCACAGAUAUAGAGGGCUGAUUUUGUUCAACUGUGCUAAUCCUUUGGCCAGGUCACAUCCCUGUACCUCAGCUACUUUAUAAUCUGAAAGCUGUUCCUGUACGGAAAGAAACCUAUUUGUUCAGCUGGCUCACGCCUGUAAUUCCAGCACUUUGGGAGGCCAAGACAGGUGGGUCACCUGUGGUCAGAAGUUCGAGCCUGGGCAACAUGGUGAAACUCUGUCUCUACUAAAAAUACAAAAAUUAGUCAGGCAUUAUGGCAGGUGCCUGUAAUCCUGACUACUCGGGAGGCUGAACCACAAGAAUUGCUUGAACCCAGGAGGCAGAGGUGGCAGUGAGCCAAGAGCACGCCACUGCACUCCAUCCUGGGAGACAAAGUGAGACUGUCUCAAUAAAAAAAAAAAUCAAUUUGUCCAAGGCUUCAGUUCCACUGUCAGAAACUGUUCUCGAAUUUCUUCUCAUCUUCCUAUUCAAGACAUCCCUGCAUGUCUAGAUCAGAGCCCAUGUUUCUAUGUGUGUAUGUGUGGAUCAAUGGAAGAAGGGGAAGAUGAGAUAAUGGUAAAGUUGUAACUGAGGGGUGUUCACCUCCCCAAAGA
rnacentral:lncRNA from 1 species